rnacentral:tRNA from 1 species
AUGAGGUGUUGGGUUUAUUAUACCCUUAUUAUUGUGUGGAUAGUUGUUGGAACUUUGGU